GAUGAAGAACGUAGCGAAAUGCGAUACUUGGUGUGAAUUGCAGAAUCCCGUGAACCAUCGAGUCUUUGAACGCAAGUUGCGCCUCAAGCCAUUAGGUUGAGGGCACGUCUGCCUGGGCGUCACAUAUCGUUGCCUGAUGCCAGUUUCCUCGUGAUGGGUGACUGUGCAGGGCGAAUGAUGGCUUCCCGUGAGCAUUGUUGCCUCAUGGUUGGUUGAAAAUUGAGUCCUUGGUAGGGAGCGCCGUGAUAGAUGGUGGUUGAGUGACGAACGAGACCCAAUCAUGUGAGACCCCUACCGANNNNNNNCUUCAUGACCCACAUGCGUCUUUGGAACGCUCAUGACGAGACCUCAGGUCAGGCGGGGCUACCCGCUGAGUUUAAGCAUAUCAAUAAGCGGAGGA
rnacentral:misc_RNA from 1 species